CGCGGGGUGGAGCAGCCUGGUAGCUCGUCGGGCUCAUAACCCGAUAGCUCGUCGGGCUCAUAACCCGAAGGUCGUCGGUUCAAAUCCGGCCCCCGCAACCA
rnacentral:tRNA from 1 species